rnacentral:lncRNA from 1 species
AAAAUUACAACACCAGACUCUCUCGGAUCGACAUCGCCAACACGCUUAGGGAACAAGUCCAAGACCUGUUUAACAAGAAAUACGGUGAAGCUCUGGGCAUCAAAUACCCAGUGCAGGUGCCCUACAAGCGAAUCAAAAGCAAUCCAGGCUCGGUAAUCAUCGAAGGCCUGCCCCCCGGGAUCCCAUUCCGCAAGCCCUGCACCUUUGGCUCCCAGAACCUGGAAAGGAUCCUCUCUGUGGCUGACAAGAUCAAGUUCACCGUCACCAGGCCAUUUCAAGGACUCAUCCCAAAGCCUGAUGAGGAUGAUGCCAACAGACUGGGGGAGAAGGUGAUCCUCCGAGAGCAGGUGAAGGAGCUCUUCAAUGAGAAAUACGGUGAGGCCCUGGGACUGAAUCGGCCUGUGCUGGUCCCGUACAAGCUGAUCCGGGACAGCCCGGAUGCCGUGGAGGUGAAAGGCCUCCCAGAUGACAUCCCCUUCCGGAACCCCAACACCUACGACAUCCAUCGGCUGGAGAAGAUCCUGAAGGCCAGAGACCACGUACGGAUGGUUAUCAUCAACCAGCUCCAACCCUUUACGGAAGUCUGCAAUGACCCCAAGGUGCCAGAUGAGGACGACUCUAACAAGCUCGGGAAGAAGGUGAUCCUCCGAGAGCAGGUGAAGGAGCUCUUCAAUGAGAAAUACGGUGAGGCCCUGGGACUGAAUCGGCCUGUGCUGGUCCCGUACAAGCUGAUCCGGGACAGCCCGGAUGCCGUGGAGGUGAAAGGCCUCCCAGAUGACAUCCCCUUCCGGAACCCCAACACCUACGACAUCCAUCGGCUGGAGAAGAUCCUGAAGGCCAGAGACCACGUACGGAUGGUUAUCAUCAACCAGCUCCAACCUUUUGGGGAUGUCUGCAACAAUGCCAAGGUGCCAGCCAAAGACAACAUUCCCAAGCGCAAGAGAAAGCGGGUCUCUGAAGGCAACUCAGUCUCCUCCUCUUCCUCUUCUUCAUCCUCCUCGUCCUCUAAUCCAGAGUCUGUGGCGUCCACCAACCAGAUCUCCCUCGUGCAGUGGCCAGUGUACAUGGUGGACUAUUCCGGACUAAACGUGCAGCUUCCAGGCCCCCUUGAUUAUUAGACCUCAGAGCCGAAUCAGGACCUCAACUCAAAAGACUAAAGGAAAAUGUAAUUUAUGUACAAAGUAUAUUCGGAUAUGUAUCGAUGCCUUUUAGUUUUUCCAAUGAUUUUUACACUAUAUUCCUGCCGCCAAGGCCUUUUUAAAUAAGUAAAGAAAACGAAAAAG